rnacentral:rRNA from 1 species
AAUAGAUACCCUGGUAGUCCACGCCGUAAACGAUGAGUGCUAAGUGUUAGAGGGUUUCCGCCCUUUAGUGCUGCAGCUAACGCAUUAAGCACUCCGCCUGGGGAGUACGGUCGCAAGACUGAAACUCAAAGGAAUUGACGGGGGCCCGCACAAGCGGUGGAGCAUGUGGUUUAAUUCGAAGCAACGCGAAGAACCUUACCAGGUCUUGACAUCCUCUGACAACUCUAGGGAUAGAGUCGUUCCCCUUCGGGGGACAGAGUGACAGGUGGUGCAUGGUUGUCGUCAGCUCGUGUCGCGAGAUGUUGGGUUAAGUCCCGCAACGAGCGCAACCCUUGAUCUUAGUUGCCAGCAUUUAGUUGGGCACUCUAAGGUGACUGCCGGUGACAAACCGGAGGAAGGUGGGGAUGACGUCAAAUCAUCAUGCCCCUUAUGACCUGGGCUACACACGUGCUACAAUGGAUGGUACAAAGGGCUGCAAGACCGCGAGGUCAAGCCAAUCCCAUAAAACCAUUCUCAGUUCGGAUUGUAGG